rnacentral:rRNA from 1 species
GUCUACGGCCAUGCCACCCUGAACAAGCCCAAUCCUGUCUGAUCUCGGAAGCUAAGCAGGGUCAGGCCUGGUUAGUACUUGGAUGGGAGACCACCUAGGAAGACCAAGUGCUAUAGGUG